rnacentral:rRNA from 1 species
CAGCAGCCACGGGAAUACAGAGGGUGCAAGCGUUAAUCGGAAUUACUGGGCGUAAAGCGCGCGUAGGUGGUUUGUUAAGUUGGAUGUGAAAUCCCCGGGCUCAACCUGGGAACUGCAUCCAAAACUGGCAAGCUAGAGUAUGGUAGAGGGUGGUGGAAUUUCCUGUGUAGCGGUGAAAUGCGUAGAUAUAGGAAGGAACACCAGUGGCGAAGGCGACCACCUGGACUGAUACUGACACUGAGGUGCGAAAGCGUGGGGAGCAAACAGGAUUAGAUACCCCGGUAGUCCCUGUCUCUUAUAA